rnacentral:tRNA from 1 species
GGCCAGAUAGCUCAGUUGGUAGAGCAACGGACUGAAAAUCCGUGUGUCGUCGGUUCGAUCCCGACUCUGGCCACCA